GGGAGUGUGAUUAAGAAAGAGCUGACCAAUGAUGUCCAAUGCACAAAAACCAUCACAACAGCUUGUUUCAUUCGCUACUCUAUUUUGGAGACUUUACCCUCCAAGUAUUAUUUCUCCUAUUCAUUUUAUGGUGCAUUGGCACUGCAUAAAAGAAGUGUUCAGAAAGUAACUGGUCUUCACUUUAUGGUGUCAGGUCUAGCUCUCUGUAAUAACCUAAACCAUGUGCUUGGCACUUGAGUGGAAGGGCGGGAGUCUUCUUCUCUCCUGAUUC
rnacentral:lncRNA from 1 species